UACGUAGGGGGCAAGCGUUAUCCGGAAUUAUUGGGCGUAAAGAGUACGUAGGUGGCAACCUAAGCGCAGGGUUUAAGGCAAUGGCUCAACCAUUGUUCGCCCUGCGAACUGGGAUGCUUGAGUGCAGGAGAGGAAAGCGGAAUUCCUAGUGUAGCGGUGAAAUGCGUAGAUAUUAGGAGGAACACCAGUGGCGAAGGCAGCUCACUGGACUGCAACUGACACUGAGGCUCGAAAGUGUGGGUAUCAAACAGG
rnacentral:rRNA from 1 species